rnacentral:lncRNA from 1 species
CAUGAGUUUAUUCAAAUUUGAUCAAAGGGUGAAGUCAUCUAUUUCAGCACCUUGGACCAUGCAGAACUCUGAUAUGUUGAAAGGAGGAAAAAGGCAGGAAAUAGUCACUCACACAUGGAAUUAGGGUUGGGUUUCCAGAGGGCACAGGGAAUGAUCCAACUUCCUUACUUUCAGGAUGGCUUGUGGUGGUGAGGGUGUGGUUCCACUCUUAGAAUGAAGAAGUUGGAUUUUUUAUUUUUAAAAAUUUUUAUCAUUAGACAACAUUGGGAAAUGUUAACUUGAACAGUCAACAAUGCUGACUCCAGCAGCUUGAGUUGCUCUGAGUUUGAGGAGUUCUAGUGCUGUUUCUGGCAACUUCAACAUAAUCAUCUUCACUGGUGUGAAUACAUGAAGUUUGGACAGGCUUCUCCAUGGCCUGGACACCAGUUCCCAGCUAAGUCACUUUCUUUUUGGCUAAAAACCCCUGCCCAGAAGCUGAUCAUUGCAGUGCUGGUGGAGAUCGCAGGUCGCUCAGGCUUGCAGAUGGGUCAAGGGCUGUGGAGAGCGGCCAGAAACCAGCAGCUACAACAGGAAGGAUAUAGUGAGCAAGGCUACCUCACCAGAGAGCAGAGCAGAAGAAUGGCUGUAAGCAACGUUUCUAACACUGAUCAUUGCAAGCAAGUCCAAGGAGGCAUUGAUAUGUGUCAUCUUUUGAAAGCAAGGAAAUCUAAAGAACAAGAAGGAUUCAUUAAUUUGGUAAUGUUGGCUCCUGAACUGAGCUUUACCAUCUUGUCCUACGUGAAUGCAACUGACCUAUGUAUGGCUUCAUGUGUUUGGCAGGACCUUGCUAAUGAUGAACUUCUCUGGCAAGGAUAAAUCAGAGAGAAGAACAUGGCAUAGAAAACCAGUAGAUCCCACAUGCCAGGAAUCUCCAUGAGGAGAAAGUCCAUCAUCAUGGUGGAGUUGGACAUCUGUGAGAGAUGCGGCUUUUGCCUGAGAAGAGAAGACAGAAGUGCUGAAUCCAGGAAGAAUUGCAGUGUGGAAAUUUCAUAAUUAUUAAACUGUGGACCAACGUAUCAUAGGGAUAUUCAGUGCUUGGCUCUCCUAAUAUUUUAGGAUGAUAAUUCAUUAGUCUGAAUGAUACGCUUUUUCAACCUGAGCAAAUGUCUAUUGUCAUUAUUGUUAUG